rnacentral:rRNA from 1 species
CAAUAGAUACCCGGGUAGUCCACGCCGUAAACGAUGAGUACUAGCUGUAUGGGGUAUCGACUCCCUGUGUAGCGAAGCUAACGCGAUAAGUACUCCGCCUGGGGACUACGGCCGCAAGGCUAAAACUCAAAGGAAUUGACGGGGCCCGCACAAGCAGCGGAGCGUACGGUUUAAUUCGAAGCUACGCGAAAAACCUUACCAGGGUUUGACAUGGCAUCGACCGGUGAUGAAAGUCGCCUUCCCUUCGGGGCGGUGUCACAGAUGCUGCAUGGCUGUCGUCAGCUCGUGCCGUGAGGUGUUGGGUUAAGUCCCGCAACGAGCGCAACCCUCGUCGUGUGUUGGAUCUUUCACACGAGACUGCCCGGUGCAACCGGGAGGAAGGCGGGGAUGGAUGUCAAGGUCAGGCAUGGCUCUUACACCCUGGGCUACUCGCACGCUACAAUGGGCAGUACAGACCGUUGCAAAACCGCGAGGUGGAGCUAAUCGGACAAAGCUGUCCUCAGUACGGAUUGCAGGCUGCAACUCG